rnacentral:lncRNA from 1 species
CUCAAACAUAACGAUAAUACUAUUAGGCAUCUAACAUUUAAUUGUUCCUGCAAUUUAUUGUUCUUAUGAAACUAAAAGGAAAUAAAUAAAAUUGAGGUAUUUUGGUGAAUCCUUUAAGCUAUCUAACAUGAUAGCUUCUUCAAUGUCAUAUGCUACAGCACAGCAAACGCCUGUUAUUGCAACUUUAACAAGAGUUUUCAAUGAGACAUCCGAUGCAUUGGGAGGAUCAGGAGUUAGUCCAGCAAAGAAGAGGGAAAUUGAGGACAACUUGGUGCCUUGUUUGCGAAACUCAAUAGUGGAGACAUUUCUAAAAAUGCUGCUGAAAGGCUUGUACAACUCUGUCAGGCUUUGGACAAUGGUGAUUUUAGUAUUGCCCUUCAGAUCCAGGUACCUGCAAAACCUUCGAUAACAUUUUUUUUUCACGUCCAUAGUUGAUUGCAUCUGUUAAUUAUGGUAUAGGCUUAGUAUUAGCGAUUGGGAUGAAUGCAACUUAUGGCUCACAACUCUUAAACAAAUGAUCAAGACAAGGCAGUGAUAUGAUCCAGGAGUCGAGCCCGACGAAGGCAAGUGAGAGACGAGACCCGU